UUUAAUAUUUCACAACAAACCCCUAUUUCCCCAAUUUCAUUUAUCUCUCUCUCUGCUCGACCGCCUCUCUCUCUGCUCGACCGUUCUUCAAUCUCUCGUCCCAGUUGCAAAUUUGGAGGUUUCUCUUUUGAGGUCGCAGAACCCAAUUUCUUUGCUGAAAUUCGAGGAAGCCUAUCAGCAAUGUUUUGAGGAAUGACAUCAAAGUCAACCCGAUUCCGAGGAUGGUAGCUCAACCCAAGUGUCACUCAAUAAUGUAACUUCAAUAUGGACGCAGGUGGUUGGUGGCGCAAAGAAAGGUAGAACUUAUGGUCUUGGAUCACAAUAUUCUGUAGGUCGUUCUACGACAUUGUUGUCUAGUGAUGCGAGUUAUUCGCAAGAUCACGAAGAGGUGGAAGCAUUACGAAAAGAAGUUGAAGUGUUGAAGGAGGAACGGAAAAAAGAUCACGCAAAUUUUAACAAAUUACAGUCUAGUGGAGAAAUUUAUGAACGGACGUCCAUUUGGUCCUUCGAAUGGCGAGGAUGGCGGGGAUAAUGAGUUUUAGUUUGUUAUGGUUAUUGAUGUUUGAGACAUUAUUAUUUGUUGUAGUUGGAUGUUUAGACUUGGUAAUAUUUACACUUGACUAUGAUUCUAAUAUUUUAGACUAGAUUGAAUGGUGCCACAAUGUUUAACUCU